GACCGGGUGCCCGAAUGGUGAGGGGACGGUCUGCAGAACCGUCAUAUGCGGGUUCGAAUCCCGUCCCGGUCUCCA
rnacentral:tRNA from 1 species